rnacentral:misc_RNA from 1 species
CCGAGUUAUCCAAACUCCAAACCUUUGUGAACAUACCGAUCGUUGCUUCGGCAGGCGGCUCCGGGGGAGCAUAAAAGCCAUUCGUGGUGCCUGCCGAAAGCCCCAAACUCUUUACUUUAGUAAACUGCCUGAGUUAUAAAACAAACAAGUAA